CACUGCCACCUCAUCUUUAAAUUUCGGUUGAAAUUUUUACCAUGAUUUUAAAUUUGAAUUUGAAAAUAAAUGAUUUUAAUUUUUCUUUAAUUUUGUCGAUGUUUCCUAUGCCAGAGUCUAAGAAAGAUUGAGGGAGAGAGAAGCCACCCUUAUGGACGAAGCUCAGUCUGUUACCCUCAUGGACAAACCUCACUGACUAGUCGACUACCCUCAUCAAAGUAACCCCACCACCACCGUCAUCCACUAUACCCACCAUCAGUUAUGCGAUACAAAUCAAAGCUUUUAAUGGUUGAAUUCGGCCAUGAAGCUCCAGAUCUGGAGUUUUGAUGAUCUAAUUUCACCAAAAAUCCGGUGAGGGGUGGGCGACAGCAGGAAGUGUCUUGGUAUGUUCAUUUCAUGAAUAUUUUUUACGAAUUAAUUUGGGUUUCAAUUGGUUUUUAACCCUACGGUCUAUUGUUGUUGGAUUGAUUUGUUGGUACCAUGUAGAUUUGAUAACCCAUAAUUUGUGUUUGAAAUCGAUAAUCGAUGUUUUAUGAAUUCAAUUUCUAAGUUUUAGGAGCUUAAUUAUUGAUUAAUCGGAUAUUCAGCCAGAAUAUUUCACCUAUUUUAUGCUUCAGUUGAUAUUAUUAGUUCGAAUUCGACUAAUACAAGAAAACUCCUGGUCUUAGAGGCCAAGUCAAGAAUCAUGCAUGCUUAAACAUCAGAUAAUACACUGAUACAAUUCUGUUUCAUUCAGUAGUAUCUCAGAAACUGAUUUUUCUUUUAUUAGCUUCCAAAUAUAAGUGCAAUUUUAUACUUUUCUGUUUAAGUUUACAUAUAUUCAAUCCCCAACUCGGUUUUUCCAUUGAAUUCCAGUUUAUUCCCCAUUCUGAAGUUUUGAUUUUUCACUGUAAAUUGUUUUAUGGAUUUUCAAUUUAAGGGGUGGGUUUUAUCUUUUAAGUUACUUUCUGGGUUUCUUUUGAAAUUGUGGAAAUGGUGAUCGAAUACAUGACCGGUUAUCGGCUCGAGAGUUACAGCUGGUGUUGGUGUAUUUUUCAAAGGAAGGGGUGGGGGACUCUUGGUGCGCAUCAGAUGUGAUUUAGUGGUCGAAGAAGAAGAAGAGUUAAGUUUAAGUUUACAAGGAGACGAUGGAGUUGAUGGUUUCAAUCAUGUGUGAAGCUGAAAAGGAAGUUGGGGAAGUGGUUGAUCUUUUCGUUGAAAUGGAUUGAGUUGGUCUGAAGUCGUGAAGCCAUUUCUGUGUACUUGGAUUUCUUUUGUUAAGGUCUUCGAAACUGUGAAAGAAGCCAACACGGAAAUACGAUUAUAUUUUAGUAAUAAGUUUUGGAACAUAGAUAUAGUCUUAUUGUAUAAUUAUGCGUUAAGUUUAGGAACCUAUAUGUCGAGAGGAUAAUGUACGUAUAAGUGUAGACAAUAUUUUAUCCGAGCAAAAUUUAUGUAUUUUAUACUUCUUCGGAAGAAUUGUAAGCACAUUUGAAGUUAUUUUUAGUAUGUGUAUUUGUAACUGAAUUAUAGUGGAAAUUGUUUUUUUUUUGUUUUA